rnacentral:rRNA from 1 species
AGAGAGGGUGAAAUCCCCGUAUGCGAAAUGAAUUGAACUUGUUGAUGUAGUACCUAAGUACGGCGGGGCACGAGAAACCCUGUCGGAAGUCGGGUCGACCACGAUCCAAGGCUAAAUACUAGACAGCUACCGAUAGAGGAGAAGUACCGUGAGGGAAAGAUGAAAAGAACCCCUUUAAGGGGAGUGAAAUAGAACCUGAAACCGUAAACUAACAAGAUGUUAUAGCCCGCAAGGGUGGUAACGUGCCUUUUGUAGAAUGAGCCUGCGAGUUAUGUUGUGUAGCAAGGUUAAGGGAUAGAAGUUCCGAAGCCGUAGGGAAACCGAGUCUGAAUAGGGCGAGUAUAAGUUGCAUGACAUAGACCCGAAGCCAGAGUGAUCUAGUCAUGGUCAGGCUGAAGCUGGGGUGACACCUAGUGGAGGGCCGAACUGGAAUCUGUUAAAAAAGGUUCAGAUGAACUGUGACUAGGAGUGAAAGGCUAAACAAACCUGGAAAUAGCUGGUUCUCCCCGAAAUGCCUUUAGGGACAGCCUUAUACAAAAUUACCGGAGGUAAAGCACUGGAUGGACUAGGGGGCUUCACCGCCUACCAAACCCAAUCAAACUCUGAAUGCCGGUAAUCAACGUAUAGGAGUGAGACUGCGUGCGACAAGGUUCGUAGUCAAAAGGGAAACAGCCCAGACCGUCAGCUAAGGUCCCGAAAUACUGCUUGAGUGUGAAAUGAAGUGUGGAUACAAAGACAGCCAGGAGGUUGGCUUAGAAGCAGCCAUUCCUUAAAAGAGUGCGUAAUAGCUCACUGGUCGAGUAUACAUGCGCAGAUAAUGUAACGGGGCUAAGCAGUAUACCGAAGCUACGGGUCUUAUGCAUUAAAAGCAUAAGGCGGUAGGGGAGCAUUCCAUGGACUGAUGAAGGCGUACCUGAGAGGGGCGCUGGAGGGGAUGGAAGAGAGAAUGCAGGUAUAAGUACACGAAAAGAAAGGUGAGAUUCCUUUCCGCCGAAAACCUAAGGUUUCCUGGGUAAAGGUCAUCUGCCCAGGGUUAGUCGGUCCCUAAGGCGAGGGCGAAAGCCGUAGUCGAUGGGAAAUCGGUUCAUAUUCCGAUACCUUUUAUAAUUUCGAUGGCAGGACGCAUGAGGCGACCCCCGGCCGGAGAACGGUUGUUCCGGUCGAAGUAUUUAAGCCGUUAUAAAGGAUAGUAGGCAAAUCCGCUAUCCAAGGUAAGAAGCGACAGCGAGUGGAUCGAUGAGAGAAGCGAAGCGGGGUAAGUCACGGUGCCGGGAAAUACUGUCUAAGGAUCAGGUUAUAAAAGACCGUACCGUAAACCGACACAGGUAGGUAGGAUGAGAAAUCUAAGGCGCUCGAGAGAACUCGCGUUAAGGAACUCGGCAAAAUGCACACGUAACUUAGGGAAAAGUGUGGCCUCUGUUUAGUAAUGAGUGGAGGUAGCAUAAAGCAGGCCCAGGCGACUGUUUAUCAAAAACACAGCCAUCUGCGAAUCAGUAAUGAGACGUAUAGGUGGUGACACCUGCCCGGUGCCGGAAGGUUAAGAGGAGCGGUGAGCAGUAAUGCGAAGCUGUCAAUUGAAGCCCCGGUAAACGGCGGCCGUAACUAUAACGGUCCUAAGGUAGCGAAAUUCCUUGUCGGGUAAGUUCCGACCCGCACGAAUGGUGUAACGUAUCUGGGCACUGUCUCAACGCGAGGCUCGGUGAAAUUUAUAUACCGGUAAAGAAGCCGGUUACCCAUAGUUAGACGGAAAGACCCCGUGAACCUUCACCGUAACUUACUAUUGGGACUUGGUUUAUCAUGUGUAGAAUAGGUGGGAAACAGUGAAGCUUGCUCGUUAGGGUGAGUGGAGUUGCCAAGUGAAAUACCACCCUUGAUGAAUUAGGUUUCUAACCUGUUCCGUGAAACCGGAAUAGGAACAGUGGUAGGCAGGCGGUUUGACUGGGGCGGUCGCCUCCUAAAAUGUAACGGAGGUGCGCGAAGGUCUCCUCACGUCGGUUGGAAAUCGACGCAGUGAGUGUAAAGGCACAAGGAGGCUUAACUGCAAGAGUGACAGCUCAAGCAGAUACGAAAGUAGGUCUUAGUGAUCUGGCGGUAGCGAGUGGAAGCGCCGUCACUUAACGGAUAAAAGGUACUCCGGGGAUAACAGGCUGAUUUUCCCCAAGAGUUCACAUCGACGGGAAAGUUUGGCACCUCGAUGUCGGCUCAUCGCAUCCUGGGGCUGAAGUAGGUCCCAAGG